AUAACGACGUCUCUGAGGCGCGAAAUCUGACAGCGAGAGGAACGGCCGGAUACAGGAGACGGGAAGAAACAAGCCGAUUAUGUUCGCGUUAAUUAAGUGGUUGGAAGAUGUAAAAUUCUCAAUUCUGCCAACUGAACAUAUACGAGAUUUUAAUGAGGAUGAAUAAUUAGCCGGCAUGGAGGAAACGGACCUUUAUUUCGUGGAGUGGCGACAAGAAGCCAAGGCGGGUGGCCAGUCUAAGAAGCCUCCAUCAUCAAGCUAGCAGAAAUCCUACCUCUCCUUCUGGCUACAGAGUACUUACCAAGCCCAUGAAAUCGAAUGCAGAUCUUCCUAAUGUGAGAUUUACAUAAAUAUGUCAAAGUCUCAACCUCAUGCUGCCCUCCCCCAUCCUCCUAAACCUGUGGAUACAAAUGCAGAUUUCCUUAAUGUUCAAUGGUGCGUGUUCUUCUAAUGGCCGCCUUCCCACUGGAGGUUUUGAUCCACAGCAAUUUAAAAGGAGGACAGAGCAAAACGGACAUCGGCGCAGAGUGAAGAACUGCCCUUGAUAAGGACACUAUGACAGCCAUAUAUAGUAAGUGAAGACUUUCUGUGUAUCUA